GAUGAACGCUGGCGGCGUGCCUAAUACAUGCAAGUCGAGCGAACAGACGAGGAGCUUGCUCCUCUGACGUUAGCGGCGGACGGGUGAGUAACACGUGGAUAACCUACCUAUAAGACUUGGAUAACUUCGGGAAACCGGAGCUAAUACCGGAUAAUAUAUUGAACCGCAUGGUUCAAUAGUGAAAGACGGUUUUGCUGUCACUUAUAUAUGGAUCCGCGCCGCAUUAGCUAGUUGGUAAGGUAACGGCUUACCAGGGCAACGAUGCGUAGCCGACCUGAGAGGGUGAUCGGCCACACUGGAACUGAGACACGGUCCAGACUCCUACGGGAGGCAGCAGUAGGGAAUCUUCCGUAAUGGGCGAAAGCCUGACGGAGCAACGCCGCGUGAGUGAUGAAGGUCUUCGGAUCGUAAAACUCUGUUAUUAGGGAAGAACAAAUGUGUAAGUAACUAUGCACGUCUUGACGGUACCUAAUCAGAAAGCCACGGCUAACUACGUG
rnacentral:rRNA from 1 species